rnacentral:rRNA from 1 species
GACGAACGCUGGCGGCGUGCUUAACACAUGCAAGUCGAACGGAAAGGCCCCUUUGGGGGUACUCGAGUGGCGAACGGGUGAGUAACACGUGAGUAACCUGCCCUUGACUUCGGGAUAACUUCAGGAAACUGGGGCUAAUACCGGAUAGGAAUCCUUGCUGCAUGGUGGGGGUUGGAAAGCUUCGGCGGUUUUGGAUGGACUCGCGGCUUAUCAGCUUGUUGGUGGGGUAGUGGCUUACCAAGGCUUUGACGGGUAGCCGGCCUGAGAGGGCGACCGGCCACAUUGGGACUGGGAUACGGCCCAGACUCCUACGGGAGGCAGCGGUGGGGAAUAUUGCACAAUGGGCGGAAGCCUGAUGCAGCAACGCCGCGGGCGGGAUGACGGCCUUCGGGUUGUAAACCGCUUUCAGCAGGGGCGAAGCUUGUGGUGACGGUACCUGCAGAAGAAGCACCGGCUAACUACGUG